AACGAACGCUGGCGGCAGGCUUAACACAUGCAAGUCGAGCGCGGACUUCGGUCCGAGCGGCGGACGGGUGAGUAACGCGUGGGAACGUGCCCUUUCUUUCGGAAUAGCCUCUGGAAACGGAGAUUAAUGCCGGAUACGCCCGCCAUGGGGACAUGGGAUGGGGAAAGAUUUAUCGGGGAAGGAUCGGCCCGCGUUGGAUUAGGUAGUUGGUGGGGUAACGGCCUACCAAGCCGACGAUCCAUAGCUGGUGAGAGGAUGAUCAGCCACACUGGGACUGAGACACGGCCCAGACUCCUACGGGAGGCAGCAGUGGGGAAUUUUGGACAAGUGGGGCAACCUGAUCCAGCCAUUCCGCGUGAGUGAAGAAGGCC
rnacentral:rRNA from 1 species